rnacentral:misc_RNA from 1 species
UAUAUAGGGGGGUGCAUGGUGCUGGAAGGCAAGUGAGUUGAGUCACGGGUCGAUUUAAUCACGACUUAUGAGUGACAAGAUACUCGAUGUCGAAGGCAUUGUAACCCAACAAGUGGGGAGUUUGAUUUGGUUGGGACAAAUUGAACGAUCUGCGGUAGCAGCGAUAAAUGACGUGGUGUGGUUUGAAGUUGAACCAUGUGCGGAUGUUGUUGUUACUUUGUGAUGUUGAUGAGAUUUGUCAAUUGUUGUGGUGAUGUCAAGUUGUUUGGGGAUCUUAGUUUAACUUUGAUCUUAAUCUUAAUUUUAUGCAUAACUAGUAUCUUCAUGAGGCAUGCACUAUCAGUUCGAUYKUAUKGCAUGWUSUYGUUUGAUUGUUGCCUUAKGAUCAKAUUGUUGGUGUAACCGAUGACAUGAUUUGUCUUGUUAAUCUUAAAAUUGUGAAUGACAAUUAGACGUUGUUUUGUUUGUUGAUGAAACUUGUUAACUGGUGAUCAAGGGUUUCUUGGUUUGAUGUGUUGUUGGUGAUGACAUUCGUCUCGAGGUGAUGCGGUGUCAUGUUGCCUGUGUAUCCUGGUAUUGAGCUAUUGAGCUUAAAACAUGUGGAUUAUCGGUUUGUGACACGGCAUCGCUCCCUUGGUUGAUGAAAGUCGUCCAAUGAUGCGUUGGUUUGUUUGUUUUCUUCUCGCAUUGCUCGGUACAUUCUGUGGUCAUUUUGGCUGUUGGUAGCUUGCUUGGCAAUUGAGCUUGGUGGGUUGCUACUGGUUGGGUGCCUUCGGGGAUGUCUACCGUAAAGGUGCAUGAGUGGUGUUUGGUUUGUUACGGGUGGUUGGCUCUUUGCUUCCGCAACAACUUCUACCUGGCAUACCUCUUCAGUCUUGUGUCAAUGCUUGUAUUGCAUUGAAUGCACGGUGGGUUUCUUGUGUUGCAUGCCUAAUUUAAUGGUAUUGCUUGAUGAAUUGGUUUUCCUUUCGUUUUGCAUUGCCUAUGCGAUGUGAGAUGAACCUUGAAGCAGCCUCUGUGAUCCACUGAUUUGAUGCAUAUGCAUUGAUUUUGUGGCCCAUUGAGUGUUGCUCGGUCUCAUGGAUAUGGAACCUGGUGUGGGCAUGGAAUCUUAAUGGUUCCUUGUUUGCCCAAGUUUAGCUUUUCUAAAACGAUUGUCUAUCAUGUGUUAACAUGGUAGACUACUUCGAAUAUGAAUGC